rnacentral:rRNA from 1 species
UUAAGCGACUAAGCGUACACGGUGGAUGCCCUGGCAGUCAGAGGCGAUGAAGGACGUGCUAAUCUGCGAUAAGCGUCGGUAAGGUGAUAUGAACCGUUAUAACCGGCGAUUUCCGAAUGGGGAAACCCAGUGUGUUUCGACACACUAUCAUUAACUGAAUCCAUAGGUUAAUGAGGCGAACCGGGGGAACUGAAACAUCUAAGUACCCCGAGGAAAAGAAAUCAACCGAGAUUCCCCCAGUAGCGGCGAGCGAACGGGGAGCAGCCCAGAGCCUGAAUCAGUAUGUGUGUUAGUGGAAGCGUCUGGAAAGGCGCGCGAUACAGGGUGACAGCCCCGUACACAAAAAUGCACAUGCUGUGAGCUCGAUGAGUAGGGCGGGACACGUGGUAUCCUGUCUGAAUAUGGGGGGACCAUCCUCCAAGGCUAAAUACUCCUGACUGACCGAUAGUGAACCAGUACCGUGAGGGAAAGGCGAAAAGAACCCCGGCGAGGGGAGUGAAAAAGAACCUGAAACCGUGUACGUACAAGCAGUGGGAGCACGCUUAGGCGUGUGACUGCGUACCUUUUGUAUAAUGGGUCAGCGACUUAUAUUCUGUAGCAAGGUUAACCGAAUAGGGGAGCCGAAGGGAAACCGAGUCUUAACUGGGCGUUAAGUUGCAGGGUAUAGACCCGAAACCCGGUGAUCUAGCCAUGGGCAGGUUGAAGGUUGGGUAACACUAACUGGAGGACCGAACCGACUAAUGUUGAAAAAUUAGCGGAUGACUUGUGGCUGGGGGUGAAAGGCCAAUCAAACCGGGAGAUAGCUGGUUCUCCCCGAAAGCUAUUUAGGUAGCGCCUCGUGAAUUCAUCUCCGGGGGUAGAGCACUGUUUCGGCAAGGGGGUCAUCCCGACUUACCAACCCGAUGCAAACUGCGAAUACCGGAGAAUGUUAUCACGGGAGACACACGGCGGGUGCUAACGUCCGUCGUGAAGAGGGAAACAACCCAGACCGCCAGCUAAGGUCCCAAAGUCAUGGUUAAGUGGGAAACGAUGUGGGAAGGCCCAGACAGCCAGGAUGUUGGCUUAGAAGCAGCCAUCAUUUAAAGAAAGCGUAAUAGCUCACUGGUCGAGUCGGCCUGCGCGGAAGAUGUAACGGGGCUAAACCAUGCACCGAAGCUGCGGCAGCGACGCUUAUGCGUUGUUGGGUAGGGGAGCGUUCUGUAAGCCUGCGAAGGUGUGCUGUGAGGCAUGCUGGAGGUAUCAGAAGUGCGAAUGCUGACAUAAGUAACGAUAAAGCGGGUGAAAAGCCCGCUCGCCGGAAGACCAAGGGUUCCUGUCCAACGUUAAUCGGGGCAGGGUGAGUCGACCCCUAAGGCGAGGCCGAAAGGCGUAGUCGAUGGGAAACAGGUUAAUAUUCCUGUACUUGGUGUUACUGCGAAGGGGGGACGGAGAAGGCUAUGUUGGCCGGGCGACGGUUGUCCCGGUUUAAGCGUGUAGGCUGGUUUUCCAGGCAAAUCCGGAAAAUCAAGGCUGAGGCGUGAUGACGAGGCACUACGGUGCUGAAGCAACAAAUGCCCUGCUUCCAGGAAAAGCCUCUAAGCAUCAGGUAACAUCAAAUCGUACCCCAAACCGACACAGGUGGUCAGGUAGAGAAUACCAAGGCGCUUGAGAGAACUCGGGUGAAGGAACUAGGCAAAAUGGUGCCGUAACUUCGGGAGAAGGCACGCUGAUAUGUAGGUGAAGCGACUUGCUCGUGGAGCUGAAAUCAGUCGAAGAUACCAGCUGGCUGCAACUGUUUAUUAAAAACACAGCACUGUGCAAACACGAAAGUGGACGUAUACGGUGUGACGCCUGCCCGGUGCCGGAAGGUUAAUUGAUGGGGUCAGCGCAAGCGAAGCUCUUGAUCGAAGCCCCGGUAAACGGCGGCCGUAACUAUAACGGUCCUAAGGUAGCGAAAUUCCUUGUCGGGUAAGUUCCGACCUGCACGAAUGGCGUAAUGAUGGCCAGGCUGUCUCCACCCGAGACUCAGUGAAAUUGAACUCGCUGUGAAGAUGCAGUGUACCCGCGGCAAGACGGAAAGACCCCGUGAACCUUUACUAUAGCUUGACACUGAACAUUGAGCCUUGAUGUGUAGGAUAGGUGGGAGGCUUUGAAGUGUGGACGCCAGUCUGCAUGGAGCCGACCUUGAAAUACCACCCUUUAAUGUUUGAUGUUCUAACGUGGACCCGUGAUCCGGGUUGCGGACAGUGUCUGGUGGGUAGUUUGACUGGGGCGGUCUCCUCCUAAAGAGUAACGGAGGAGCACGAAGGUUGGCUAAUCCUGGUCGGACAUCAGGAGGUUAGUGCAAUGGCAUAAGCCAGCUUGACUGCGAGCGUGACGGCGCGAGCAGGUGCGAAAGCAGGUCAUAGUGAUCCGGUGGUUCUGAAUGGAAGGGCCAUCGCUCAACGGAUAAAAGGUACUCCGGGGAUAACAGGCUGAUACCGCCCAAGAGUUCAUAUCGACGGCGGUGUUUGGCACCUCGAUGUCGGCUCAUCACAUCCUGGGGCUGAAGUAGGUCCCAAGGGUAUGGCUGUUCGCCAUUUAAAGUGGUACGCGAGCUGGGUUUAGAACGUCGUGAGACAGUUCGGUCCCUAUCUGCCGUGGGCGCUGGAGAAUUGAGGGGGGCUGCUCCUAGUACGAGAGGACCGGAGUGGACGCAUCACUGGUGUUCGGGUUGUCAUGCCAAUGGCACUGCCCGGUAGCUAAAUGCGGAAGAGAUAAGUGCUGAAAGCAUCUAAGCACGAAACUUGCCCCGAGAUGAGUUCUCCCUGACUCCUUGAGAGUCCUGAAGGAACGUUGAAGACGACGACGUUGAUAGGCCGGGUGUGUAAGCGCAGCGAUGCGUUGAGCUAACCGGUACUAAUGAACCGUGAGGCUUAACCUU